AGUGAACGCUGGCGGUAGGCCUAGCACAUGCAAGUCGAACGGCAGCACAGUAAGAACUUGCUCUUACGGGUGGCGAGUGGCGGACGGGUGAGGAAUACAUCGGAAUCUACUUUUUCGUGGGUGAUAACGUAGGGAAACGUACGCUAAUACCGCAUACGACCUACGUGUGAAAGCAGGGGAUCUUCGGACCUUGCGCGAGUGAAUGAGCCGAUGUCGGAUUAGCUAGUUGGCGGGGUAAAGGCCCACCAAGGCGACGAUCCGUAGCUGGUCUGAGAGGAUGAUCAGCCACACUGGAACUGAGACACGGUCCAGACUCCUACGGGAGGCAGCAGUGGGGAAUAUUGGACAAUGGGCGCAAGCCUGAUCCAGCCAUACCGCGUGGGUGAAGAAGGCCUUCGGGUUGUAAAGCCCUUUUGUUGGGAAAGAAAAGCAGCAGGUUAAUACCCCGCUGUUCUGACGGUACCCAAAGAAUAAGCACCGGCUAACUUCGUG
rnacentral:rRNA from 1 species